rnacentral:rRNA from 1 species
CAGUUCGGAUUGUAGUCUGCAACCCGACUACAUGAAGCUGGAAUCGCUAGUAAUCGCGGAUCAGAAUGCCGCGGUGAAUACGUUCCCGGGUCUUGUACACACCGCCCGUCACACCAUGGGAGUCGGAAAUGCCCGAAGUCUGUGACCUAACCGUAAGGAAGGAGCAGCCGAAGGCAGGUCGGAUGACUGGGGUGAAGUCGUAACAAGGUAGC